rnacentral:rRNA from 1 species
AAAUUAUCCUCAUAAGUUCGACGACAAGAGGAACCACUUUUUGAAUAAAUAACUCCAUUGGAAUAUUUUCUAAUUAUUCUCUUAACUGUGGUGGCACAAAAUCGGAAGCCCCGACUGUUUACUAAAAACACAACUAUCUGCAAUGAUGUAAAUCAUAGUAUAGGUAGUGAGGUUUGCCCGAUGCCAUUAAUAUAAGAGAGGUAAUGGGUAACUGUUACUUAUCGAAAGUCUGGUUAAUAGCGGUCUUAACUAUGAGGAUCCAAAGGUAGCAAAAUAAAUUGGCCAUUAAAUGUGGUCCGGUAUCAAUAAUUUAACGAUGGCUUCACUGUCUCUACAACUUGCUCAGUGAAAUUGAAUUACCCGUGCAGAUGCGGGUUGCCUCCAGGGGGACGGGAAGACC